GUGUCAGCAGCCGCGGUAAGACGAACCGUGCGAACGUUGUUCGGAAUCACUGGGCUUAAAGGGCGCGUAGGCGGUCGCACAAGUCGAGGGUGAAAGCCUCCAGCUUAACUGGAGAAGGGCCCCCGAUACUGUGUGACUCGAGGUGGGUAGGGGUGCGUGGAACUUCCGGUGGAGCGGUGAAAUGCGUAGAUAUCGGAAGGAACGCCGGUGGCGAAAGCGACGCACUGGACCCUUUCUGACGCUGAGGCGCGAAAGCCAGGGGAGCAAACGGGAUUAGAUACCCCAGUAGUCC
rnacentral:rRNA from 1 species